ACUCAAAUGAAUUGACGGGGACCCGCACAAGCGGUGGAUGAUGUGGAUUAAUUCGAUGCAACGCGAACAACCUUACCUACCCUUGACAUGUCCAGGAGUCGGCUGAAAGGUCGAUGUGCCCGAAAGGGAAUUGGAACACAGGUGCUGCAUGGCUGUCGUCAGCUCGUGUCGUGAGAUGUUGGGUUAAGUCCCGCAACGAGCGCAACCCUUGUCCUUAGUUGCUACGCAAGGGCACUCUAAGGAGACUGCCGGUGACAAACCGGAGGAAGGUGGGGAUGACGUCAAGUCCUCAUGGCCCUUAUGGGUAGGGCUUCACACGUCAUACAAUGGUCGGUACAGAGGGUAGCCAACCCGCGAGGGGGAGCCAAUCCCAGAAAGCCGAUCGUAGUCCGGAUCGCAGUCUGCAACUCGACUGCGUGAAGUCGGAAUCGCUAGUAAUCGCGGAUCAGCAUGUCGCGGUGAAUACGUUCCCGGGUCUUGCACACACCGCCCGU
rnacentral:rRNA from 1 species